rnacentral:rRNA from 1 species
UCAGAACGAACGCUGGCGGCAUGCCUAACACAUGCAAGUCGAACGAGAUCCUUCGGGGUCUAGUGGCGCACGGGUGCGUAACGCGUGGGAAUCUGCCCUUGGGUUCGGAAUAACAGUGAGAAAUUACUGCUAAUACCGGAUGAUGUCUUCGGACCAAAGAUUUAUCGCCCAGGGAUGAGCCCGCGUAGGAUUAGGUAGUUGGUGGGGUAAUGGCCUACCAAGCCGACGAUCCUUAGCUGGUCUGAGAGGAUGAUCAGCCACACUGGGACUGAGACACGGCCCAGACUCCUACGGGAGGCAGCAGUGGGGAAUAUUGGACAAUGGGCGAAAGCCUGAUCCAGCAAUGCCGCGUGAGUGAUGAAGGCCUUAGGGUUGUAAAGCUCUUUUACCAGGGA